GGUCCUUCACUCAUGCAGCUAUUGAUAGUGCCAGGCACCAGGUCCAGCCCAGAAAGAAGGAUGAAACAAGGCCACUUGCACUUGAGGAACUUCAGGAGGGAGACAGACAAAUUGUCCUAGAGUUGAUAAAGGAAGGCUGCCGUGAAGAGGUGAUAAGGAUUCUGAAGCAUCUGAACUGAGGGGGCAGGGUGUGUAAAUCAGGAAUCGAGCCUGACAUGGCUGAGUUCGCUGCUCAGGGUCUCACUGGCUGAAAUGAAGGCAUCUGGGGCUACGGUUCUCUCCUACGGCUCAGCGUUUGGUCUCAAGCUCUCUCGUCGUUGGCGGAACGUAUUUCCUUGUGGCUGUUGGGCCAAGCUACGGCUGACCCAUGAGAUACAAGUGGAAGCUGUUGGCGUGGCAGUGGAGUUCAUCUCCCUCAAUAGAGCCUAUCGCUCUUUCCUCCUUGCUUCAUUCUCCUUCUUGCCUGGAAUACAAACAUGAUGGCUGGAGCUCUGGCAACCAUCUUGGAGUACAAAGUCAUCUUGGGAAUGGAUCCACGUACUGAAGAUGGUGGAACAAAAAGAUGGAGAUGUCA